rnacentral:tRNA from 1 species
GUCCUGAUAGCUUAAUUAAAGCACUGGUCUUGUAAGCCAGAGACUGUAGCCUGACCCCUACUCAAGACU